GAUGAACGCUGGCGGCGUGCUUAACACAUGCAAGUCGAACGGUGAAGCAGAGCUUGCUCUGUGUAUCAGUGGCGAACGGGUGAGUAACACGUGAGCAACCUGCCCCUGACUCUUUGAUAAGCGCUGGAAACGGCGUCUAAUACUGGAUAUGAGCUGCGACCGCAUGGUCAGCAGUUGGAAAGAUUUUUCGGUCUGGGAUGGGCUCACGGCCUAUCAGCUUGUUGGUGAGGUAAUGGCUCACCAAGGCGUCGACGGGUAGCCGGCCUGAGAGGGUGACCGGCCACACUGGGACUGAGACACGGCCCAGACUCCUACGGGAGGCAGCAGUGGGGAAUAUUGCACAAUGGGCGAAAGCCUGAUGCAGCAACGCCGCGUGAGGGAUGACGGCCUUCGGGUUGUAAACCUCUUUUAGCAGGGAAGAAGCGAAAGUGACGGUACCUGCAGAAAAAGCGCCGGCUAACUACGUG
rnacentral:rRNA from 1 species